rnacentral:rRNA from 1 species
UACGUAGGGUGCGAGCGUUGUCCGGAAUUAUUGGGCGUAAAGAGCGUGUAGGCGGCUUGGUAAGUCCGCUGUGAAAGUCCAGGGCUCAACCCUGGAAAGCCGGUGGAAACUGUCAAGCUUGAGUCCGGAAGAGGCGAGUGGAAUUCCUGGUGUAGCGGUGAAAUGCGCAGAUAUCAGGAGGAACACCAAUGGCGAAGGCAGCUUGCUGGGACGGUACUGACGCUGAGACGCGAAAGCGUGGGGAGCAAACAGG